CGGCAAAUUCUACUAUCUAGUUCAUUAACAUGAACCUCGACCGCCGAGAUAUAUAUUAAUGAACUAAUUCUACUCCUAUACUGGUUUCUCAGUUUGUGAUAAAAAGAAAUACCUCCCGUUAACAUACAAGAAAUCUAUGACAAAAUAUCAGUAUAUUUAACACACACACCCCUCUCUCCGACAUCACCCCAUUCCCGAUUUUGACGGUUUGCAGUUGUGGGAAGGUUUACGGUUGUGACGUCAUAGACAAUGUACGCAACGUUAGCACAUCAGAGAGAGACAGGAAAACGUUUUGAUGUUCCAUUCAGCAAAAGAAGUCAACGAACUGUGUGUACUCAAAACUACUAAAGACAAUUUCAAAGAAUGGAGUGUACAUCCAAAAACAUUCAACACCAACAAUCAAAUGAUUGUGCGGGCGCCAAAAAUAUCAACAAGCAAGGGACGGUGCGAACCCCCCAAAAACAACUAUCAGUGUUAACCAUCAAAGGAUAGUACGCAUCCCAAAAAACAGUUUGUAUCAACAACGAAUGGAUGUGUGCACCAACAAAUAUAUUCAACAUUAACAAAAAAGGAAGGUGCGCACCUACAAAACAAUAUUCAAUAUCAACAAUCAAAGGACAGGUGCGCACCCCGAAAACAUUCAACAUCAACAAUCAAAGAAUGGGUACGCACCCCAAACACAUUCAACAUUAACAAUCAAAGGAAGGUGCGCACCCACAAAAAAUAUUCAAUAACAACAAUCAGAGGAAGGGUGCAUACCCCAAAAACAUUCAACAUCAACAAUCAAUGAAUGGGUACGCACCCCAAAUAUAUUCAACAUACAAAAAAGGAAGAUGCGCACCUACAAAAAUAAAAUCAAUAUAAACAAUCAAAGGACAGGUGCGCACCACAAAAACAUUCAACAUCAACAACCAAAGAAUGGGUACGCAACCCAAAUAUAUUCAACAUUAAAAAAAAAGGAAGGUGCGUACCUACAAAAAAAUAUUCAAUAUAAACAAUCAAAGGAGAGGUGUGCACCGUAAAAACAUUCAACAUCAAAAGUCAAAGAAUGGGUGCGCACCACAAACAUAUUCAACAUUAACUAUCAAUGGAAGGUACGCACCCUAAACAAAUAUUCAAUAUCAACAAUCAAAGGACGGGUGUGCACCCAAAAAACAUUAAACAUCAACAAUAAAAGAAUGUGUGCGCACCACAAAUAUAUUCAACAUUAACAAUCAAUGGAAAGUGCGCACCCACAAAACAUAUUCAGUAUCAACAAUCAAAGGACGGGUAUCAA